CACGUAGGGCGCAAGCGUUGUCCGGAAUUAUUGGGCGUAAAGAGCUCGUAGGUGGUUUGUUACGUCUGCUGUGAAAACCUAGGGCUUAACCCUGGGCUUGCAGUGGAUACGGGCAGACUAGAGGUAGGUAGGGGAGAAUGGAAUUCCUGGUGUAGCGGUGAAAUGCGCAGAUAUCAGGAGGAACACCGGUGGCGAAGGCGGUUCUCUGGGAAACAACUGACGCUGAGACGCGAAAGCGUGGGGAGCGAACAGG
rnacentral:rRNA from 1 species